CAGCGCCACGAGUGGCAGUCACGAUUAUUGGGCCUAAAGCGUCCGUAGCUGGAUAUGUACAUCCCUUGUGAAAUUACUUGGCUUAACCGAGUAGCGUGCAGGGGACACGGCAUAUCUUGGGAGUGGGAGGAGUCUGAGGUAUUCGAGGGGGACCGGUAAAAUGGUAUAAUCCCUCGAGGACCACCGAUGGCGAAGGCAUCAGACCAGAACACGUCCGACAGUCAGGGACGAAAGCUAGGGGAGCGAACCGGAUUAGAUACCCGAGUAGUCC
rnacentral:rRNA from 1 species